CCUACGGGGGGCAGCAGUGAGGAAUAUUGGUCAAUGGGCGGGAGCCUGAACCAGCCAAGUCGCGUGAGGGAAGACGGUCCUACGGAUUGUAAACCUCUUUUGCCGGGGAGCAACGGGGUCCUUGCGAGGGCCCGAUGAGAGUACCCGGAGAAAAAGCAUCGGCUAACUCCGUGCCGGCAGCCGCGGUAAUACGGAGGAUGCGAGCGUUAUCCGGAUUUAUUGGGUUUAAAGGGUGCGUAGGCGGGACGGUAAGUCAGCGGUAAAAAUGCGGAGCUCAACUCCGUCGAGCCGUUGAAACUGUCGUU
rnacentral:rRNA from 1 species